UACGGAGGGGGCUAGCGUCGUUCGGAAUUACUGGGCGUAAAGGGCGCGUAGGCGGUUUACCCAGUCAGGCGUGAAAGGCCUGGGCUCAACCCGGGAACUGCGCUUGAUACUGGUAGACUUGAGUCCGGGAGAGGAUGGCGGAAUUCUCGGUGUAGAGGUGAAAUUCGUAGAUAUCGAGAGGAACACCGGUGGCGAAAGCGAUUCUCUGGACGGUAACUGACGCUGAGGCACGAAAGCGUGGGGAGCAAACAGG
rnacentral:rRNA from 1 species